UGGCAUCUUCGGUCGUGCCGG
rnacentral:misc_RNA from 1 species